CCUUGAGCCCAUGAGAGUCAAGGCUGCAAAGAGCCAUGAUCAUGCCAUUGUGCUCCAGCCUGGGUGACAGAGGGUGACCCUACCUCAAAACAAACAAUCACAACAACAACAAAACCCAAAACAAAACAACUGUGGCGCUUAAGAUACCUACUGCUUUCUUCCUUCCUUCUUUCAGCUUCCACUCCUCUCAUUUUAAUGGGCAACAAGAAAAGGAACUACCAGGAGUAAGGUUCAAAUUUUAAUACACAGAAGAGGUGUAUCUAAAGGUUUAAUGAAAAUUGAAGGGUCAGAAGUACAUUCAUGUCCAGGGAUCACCAAUGAGGAAAUGUGCAGCAGAGCUGAUAAUAUUGUGUAGGAGAACAGACAAGGAACUCUUCUACUGAUGACCAAGGUGCUUCCCAACCACUGCCACUGUCUGCAUUCGAGUUUCGUUUUACCUCUGGACAUUUGCUUUGGCUGCUGCCACUUGGAAUGACUGCCACAGCUAAAUCGAGUGAUAUUUUUAACCCUAUGUGUUCAUGGAGGCACUCCAGCUACAAACCAAAGGAAAUCCCAAUUUAGAUUACUUGGAAUCAGUACUAUAAAAUUAUGCAGUUUGUGAAUAUAUUCUUGGUGUUUCACAGUUGACAACACUAUAUUCCCUUGAGUACCAAACUCACAGAAACCCCAUGGAAUGAUCUCUCUCUCCAAGUACAGUUUUUCUGGAAUCAGUAUGAGGUGUGAGACUAAUCAGACAAGGGCUUUAGCAAAUGUGCAUUUUUAAAAUAAACAGCCUAGAAAAAUUAUGGCAGUUCUUUUAUGGCCCAGAAUAACAUGUUUUCACUUAUCAGCUGCUUAACAGAGAAAUGAAUUGAUACAAAAAUGAUUUCAGUUCACCUUUCACUGACUACUAUUGCUCUGAUAGUUCAAGAAAGAGCAGUGAAGGUUUUUAUUUUCCUUAAGAGGUGAUAGGGGCUUGAUGGCAUGGUAGAACAUUCUCAUUUACAGACAAAGGCUGCGGAUAAGUGGAAUGGCUGCCUCAUAGUUAUAGAUGAGUAGUGCUCCUAGUAUUCUGCCAUGCAGCAUUACCUUCAAAAUGAAUAUGAACUUAUAAAUACAGACUUCCAUUCUUUUUUUCGUCCAGUCUUCCACCCUUUUUGUAGGCCAUCUACGAUGCAUUCAUAUACAUAAAAGUAGUCUUAUACUCCAACCAAAACACUUGUUUCCUCUCAAUCAAAUCUUAUCUUUAGGUUAAUCUCUCAGGGACCAUCCAUAAAUAGCAGAGGCAGAAUGUUAUCCAAUAUCCAUCAGGAUUCACCCAAAUGUGAAAAAGAUGAAUAUAACAUAUAUUGUCUUCUGCCAUCAAGGUCAUCACUGCCAAAAGCUUUCCUGGACAACUAUGUUCUGGGCCCCAUUUCUCUCACUCGUUUGUUGCAAUACAAUGGUUUUGAGAGCUACUAAUUUCCAUUAAAUGACACAUGGUAACUUCCAGUCCAAAUAGAGAAUAUUUUUGGAAUUGCAGGCUAUUUAAGGCAAAUCUUAUUAAUCUAAAUGAAGUAGAGUUUACAUAUUGACUAUUAAUUUUCCAUUUUUCAUUUACUUCUCCAUAUAGCUUUACAGCCCAUGAAGAGGAGUCUUAAAAUCAACAUACCUAAUUUCUUUCUCUACUUCAAGAAAGAUAUGAGCUACAAAUAGAAAACUUUACUGAGAGGAGGUAGACAGUUCAGCCUACUUGGAUUAUCCUUAGAGGAGCUAUUACAUUAUUUACUUCUACCAUAGGGUAUGAACAGAGAAAGUAGACAACUUUCCAGUUCACUUGGGUGAGGGAGGUUGUUUUACUUCUUUUACGAUUUUUCUUCCCCUGAGAUCUAUUUUCAUAGUGUGGCUUUAACUGUUACUAAUCAAAUAUAAAAACAAAAACUUUGGGAUUUGAGGGGAUCUUGGAGUAUCUGUUCCUCUCCUCCCUUUAUUAACAUGGAUCACAGAGAACAGACUGCACUGCAAAACCAAAACGGUCUCUAGAAACAAGCAUUGUCUCAGUUUCCUUACCUGUGAAUAGCUAAUGUGAUCUCCUUAGGGCCAAUUACUUUUAAUGAUUUAAUUACAUUUAUGGUUUUAAACUACUUUCCACCUAAACCACAUGCUCAUAAAAUAACAAUUAAAAUAUUUAAUAUUAAACACAGUGGGAGUCCUUGUUUCUGAUUUUUGUUGUAAAGUCUACAGUUAUUUGAAGAUACAUUUACCAAGUUGAAACUUGCAAUCAUGUAGAUGCCUGCUGAGAUUUCACACAUGAGCUGAGAUCAACUGUUAAAAAAAGUCUUCAUGAGGAAGUAUUUUUAUUUUUCCUUUUUUUUUUUUGGUGUUGCUACUUUGCUCUGAACAUUCAUAUUUUACAAUACUAUGUGAGGUGGAAUGUGUUUUACCUGGAUUCCUUGGAAUCCGCUUUCGACGGUCUCUGAAUGCUGCACCUGAUUGUAGGGCUUCUAGAAGAUUAUCCAUCACACCAGUCUCAUCACCCUCUGGAGA
rnacentral:lncRNA from 1 species